rnacentral:rRNA from 1 species
GUCGAGAGGCUUCGGCAAUGGGGGAAACCCUGACCGAGCGACGCCGCGUGGGGGAUGAAGGCCUUUGGGUUGUAAACCCCUGUCAGGUGGGACGAAACGCCCUGCGGUGAUAAGCCAAGGGGCUUGACGGUACCGCCAGAGGAAGCUCCGGCUAACUCCGUGCCAGCAGCCGCGGUAAUACGGGGGGAGCAAGCGUUGUUCGGAAUUACUGGGCGUAAAGGGCGUGUAGGCGGCCUUGCAAGUCGGGGGUGAAAUCCACUGGCUCAACCAGUGACGUGCCUUCGAAACUACGAGGCUUGAGUAUGGCAGAGGAAAGCGGAAUUCCAGGUGUAGCGGUGAAAUGCGUAGAUAUCUGGAAGAACACCGGUGGCGAAGGCGGCUUUCUGGGCCAAUACUGACGCUGAGGCGCGAAAGCCAGGGGAGCGAACGGGAUUAGAUACCCGUGUAGUCC